rnacentral:rRNA from 1 species
CUCAGAUUGAACGCUGGCGGCAGGCCUAACACAUGCAAGUCGAGCGGUAGCACAGAGAGCUUGCUCUCGGGUGACGAGCGGCGGACGGGUGAGUAAUGUCUGGGAAACUGCCUGAUGGAGGGGGAUAACUACUGGAAACGGUAGCUAAUACCGCAUAAUGUCGCAAGACCAAAGUGGGGGACCUUCGGGCCUCAUGCCAUCAGAUGUGCCCAGAUGGGAUUAGCUAGUAGGUGGGGUAACGGCUCACCUAGGCGACGAUCCCUAGCUGGUCUGAGAGGAUGACCAGCCACACUGGAACUGAGACACGGUCCAGACUCCUACGGGAGGCAGCAGUGGGGAAUAUUGCACAAUGGGCGCAAGCCUGAUGCAGCCAUGCCGCGUGUAUGAAGAAGGCCUUCGGGUUGUAAAGUACUUUCAGCGGGGAGGAAGGCGAUAAGGUUAAUAACCUUGUCGAUUGACGUUACCCGCAGAAGAAGCACCGGCUAACUCCGUGCCAGCAGCCGCGGUAAUACGGAGGGUGCAAGCGUUAAUCGGAAUUACUGGGCGUAAAGCGCACGCAGGCGGUCUGUCAAGUCGGAUGUGAAAUCCCCCGGGUUCAMCCUGGGAACUGCAUUCGAAACUGGCAGGCUAGAGUCUUGUAGAGGGGGGUAGAAUUCCAGGUGUAGCGGUGAAAUGCGUAGAGAUCUGGAGGAAUACCGGUGGCGAAGGCGGCCCCCUGGACAAAGACUGACGCUCAGGUGCGAAAGCAUGGGGAGCAAACAGGAUUAGAUACCCUGGUAGUCCACGCCGUAAACGAUGUCGAUUUGGAGGUUGUGCCCUUGAGGCGUGGCUUCSGGAGCUAACGCGUUAAAUCGACCGCCUGGGGAGUACGGCCGCAAGGUUAAAACUCAAAUGAAUUGACGGGGGCCCGCACAAGCGGUGGAGCAUGUGGUUUAAUUCGAUGCAACGCGAAGAACCUUACCUGGUCUUGACAUCCACAGAACUUASCAGAGAUGSUUUGGUGCCUUCGGGAACUGUGAGACAGGUGCUGCAUGGCUGUCGUCAGCUCGUGUUGUGAAAUGUUGGGUUAAGUCCCGCAACGAGCGCAACCCUUAUCCUUUGUUGCCAGCGGUUCGGCCGGGAACUCAAAGGAGACUGCCAGUGAUAAACUGGAGGAAGGUGGGGAUGACGUCAAGUCAUCAUGGCCCUUACGACCAGGGCUACACACGUGCUACAAUGGCAUAUACAAAGAGAAGCGACCUCGCGAGAGCAAGCGGACCUCAUAAAGUAUGUCGUAGUCCGGAUUGGAGUCUGCAACUCGACUCCAUGAAGUCGGAAUCGCUAGUAAUCGUAGAUCAGAAUGCUACGGUGAAUACGUUCCCGGGCCUUGUA